GACGAACGCUGGCGGCAUGCCUAACACAUGCAAGUCGAGCGGGCAGAUCCCUUCGGGGUGAAGCUAGCGGCGGACGGGUGAGUAACACGUGGGCAACCUGCCUCAUAGAGGGGAAUAGCCUUCCGAAAGGAAGAUUAAUACCGCAUAAGAUUGUGGCUUCGCAUGAAGCAGCAAUUAAAGGAGCAAUCCGCUAUGAGAUGGGCCCGCGGCGCAUUAGCUAGUUGGUGAGGUAACGGCUCACCAAGGCGACGAUGCGUAGCCGACCUGAGAGGGUGAUCGGCCACAUUGGGACUGAGACACGGCCCAGGCUCCUACGGGAGGCAGCAGUGGGGAAUAUUGCACAAUGGGGGAAACCCUGAUGCAGCAAUGCCGCGUGAGUGAUGACGGCCUUCGGGUUGUAAAGCUCUGUCUUCGGGGACGAUAAUGACGGUACCCGAGGAGGAAGCCACGGCUAACUACGUGCCAGCAGCCGCAGUAA
rnacentral:rRNA from 1 species